rnacentral:rRNA from 1 species
GGGCGGUUGAGGGCGUGUCGGGUAAAAGUAUUAGGUGGUUUGCCCGGAUUUAGUUUUUUGCCUGGGUGUAAAGGUGAAAUUUAGUAAUUUAGGGUAAGAGAUUGGUUGAGUUGGGCGGUCGCUUCAACUUUUAGGACAGAGGUGUCGAACGGGAUUAGAUACCCCGGUAUUCUUUAGUGGUAAUUUGUUUUCCCUGGGUAGUAAACAGUUAUAUUCUCGGAACCUAAAGAAUUUGGCGGUAACCAAGUCCAGUCAGAGGAACCUGUGCCGUAAUCGAUAAUCCACGAAAAUCUUACGCGAUCUUGGUUAAUCAGUUUGUAUACCGCCAUUAUCAGAUAAUUUUACUAGAAGUUUGUCUCUAUAAGGGUGGGGCUUAAAAUAUUAGGUCAAGGUGCAGCUUAUGGUGGCGGGAGAAACAUGGGUUACAGUGGCAGUUAGUUUAUAAACGGAUGGACACUUUGGAACGGGGUCUUGAAGGCGGAUUUGAUUGUAGGGGGCUCAUAUGAAGUGUCGUCGGUAGGGUUCUUGGUUAUGUACACAUCGCCCGUCGUUCUCGCUUU